AUCCAGCUGACGAGUGCCAAAUAGGACGAAACGCGCGUCAAACUGGAU
rfam:Schistosoma margrebowiei strain Zambia genome assembly, scaffold: SMRZ_contig0000148